GUGGUAAAAUUAUUGUAUCUCUACAGUUUAAACAUUUAAUAAGCACAGCAUGUGCAUGUGUGUGUGUGUGUGUGUGUUUUAUGUGUAUAGAUUUUUAAAAAUUAUUACUAAUAAUAUAACAAAUAUUCCAGAAAUGCCUCGUAAGGAGAAGAGGAAGAAACGGCUACAAAAGGAGCUGUGUGAGGCUGCUAAAGGCAGUGGAUCCCUCACCAGCUGGAUUAAAAAGAGCACAGAUUAACAGCAAGUGGAGGGUGAUAGUUCAGAUGAGGAGGAUGGAAGGAGGAAGUGAGGCAAAGACUGAGUCACAGGCAGAGCCUGGAGAGAAUAUAGAGGAAAGGACAAGGCAGGAGAAAGAGACUGGAGUGAGAAAGUCAGAGAGUGAGACAGAGCCCAGAGAGGAGGAGAGUGAAGCUAGUGAAGCCAUAGAGAGGACAUUCUCAAACCUACUUGGACUUGCACACCCAACUGAUCCUGCCCAUGUCAUGCAAUUCCACAUACAGUAUGAUGAGGCCUUUAUUCAAAUGUGUGAUAAUAUUGGACCCUGCC
ensembl:lncRNA